GGAUGUGAGGACUAUCUGGCUGCGACAUCUGUCACCCCGUUGAUUGCCAGGCUUGAUUCGGCGGAUCUGGCUGGCUGGGCGGGUGUCCCCUUCCUCCCUCACUGCUCCCUGUGUAUCCCUCCCGAAGCUGCAUGCUCGGUGGAAGAGGACAACGUCCCAGGUAUAUAAGGAGUGUACCAAGGUCUCCAGUCUUCGGUUCCGGGUAUAUGAUAGCUGCGCCAUCUUAAGAGGUCAUCCAAAUUUUGUCAAACAUCCUAACUUGAUAAGGAAGAACCAGGCUAAACAUGAGUUUUUUCCCCUUGGUUGAUAUAAUGAUACAAG
rfam:Anolis carolinensis chromosome 5, whole genome shotgun sequence.